UUUAGGUGACCCGUAGAGGAUCUCUGUCAUGUGAACUAUAGAGGAUCUCUGUUAGGUGACCCGUAGAGGAUCUCUGUUAGGUGACCCGUAGAGGAUCUCUGUUAGGUGACCCGUAGAGGAUCUCUGUUAGGUGACCCGUAGAGGAUCUCUGUUAGGUGACCCGUAGAGGAUCUCUGUUAGGUGACCCGUAGAGGAUCUCUGUUAGGUGACCCGUAGAGGAUCUCUGUUAGGUGACCCGUAGAGGAUCUCUGUUAGGUGACCCGUAGAGGAUCUCUGUUAGGUGACCCGUAGAGGAUCUCUGUUAGGUGACCCGUAGAGGAUCUCUGUUAGGUGACCCGUAGAGGAUCUCUGUUAGGUGACCCGUAGAGGAUCUCUGUUAGGUGACCCGUAGAGGAUCUCUGUUAGGUGACCCGUAGAGGAUCUCUGUUAGGUGACCCGUAGAGGAUCUCUGUUAGGUGACCCGUAGAGGAUCUCUGUUAGGUGACCCGUAGAGGAUCUCAGUCAUGAUCCUCCAUGGGUCUCUUAUAUUCAACAUAGUUAUAGUUUUAAGCUUUGUGAAAAUCCAUAAACACUUCAGUAAAACUAAAUCACACAUCAUUACCAACAUUAUCCCAUGAUCUAAUAUUAUACCAGGUGUUGACAAUCGUCUCACAUCAUCAGUAUGACUGGUUAAGAGCAGUUUUACUAGUGUCUUACAGCAAUGGUCCCCAACCUUUUUGGGUUAGUGUGCCACCAACUGAAUGUUGCUCUGCCCAGAGUAACCCUUCAUUUGCAUUUUACCAAUAAACACAUGAUCUCAUGGGUCUUAUCAAGUACACUGUGUGGAUAGGUCAGGAAACCCCAGAUGUCCUAGUACACCGUGUGGAUAGGCCAGGUACCCCCAGAUGUCCUAGUACACUGUGUGGUUAGGCCAGGUACCCCCAGAUGUCCUAGUAUACCGUGUGGAUAGGUCAGGAAACCCCAGAUGUCCUAGUACACCGUGUGGAUAGGCCAGGAAACCCCAGAUGUCCUAGUACACCGUGUGGAUAGGCCAGGUACCCCCAGAUGUCCUAGUACACCGUGUGGAUAGGCCAGGUACCCCCAGAUG